rnacentral:misc_RNA from 1 species
GAUGAAGAACGCAGCGAAAUGCGAUAAGUAAUGCGAAUUGCAGAAUUUCCGUGAGUCAUCGAAUCUUUGAACGCACAUUGCGCCCGCCAGUAUUCUGGCGGGCAUGCCUGUUCGAGCGUCAUUUCAACCAUCAAGCCCCAGGCUUGUGUUGGGGACCUGCGGCUGCCGCAGGCCCUGAAAACCAGUGGCGGGCUCGCUGUCACACCGGGCGUAGUAGAUUUUAUCUCGCUCUGGGCGUGCUGCGGGUUCCGGCCGUUAAAAAACCCUUUUAACCCAAGGUUGACCUCGGAUCAGGUAGGAAUACCCGCUGAACUUAAGCAUAUCAAUAAGCGGAGGA